UGUGGGCCUUUCACAUUUAUUCUUAUGACCCCGGUACUUCCAUUAAACCUUGGCCUUCCCGCCACUGCUGGGAGAUACAGGUCACUUCUCUAGAACUAAAGCAGCAUAAUUAUUUGCAUGCAACUGUCUUUAUCCUCAAUGGGACAAUGUAAAGAUCUAAAGCCACAAGGCCUACCAUCUGCUCCAAAUGCAGCACAGAGAUCUCUGAAAGGAAAAGAAUAUUCACAAGGAAGGAAAACAGAGUGUUGAGGAUGGAACCCAGGGCCUCAUGCAUCCUAGGAAUCACCAAAGGAAGACAUUGGCAGAGAGCGAUCCAACAUCAAAAUCUACACAGAUGAAAAUCAGGGCUGAUUUGAAUGUGCAAAUUGUCAGAAAGCUGAACAUCUGUCCUGAGCUUUGAACUUCGCCAUGAAAUAAUAUGGCCAUUGAAUAUCAACAUGCAUAAGCCCCUCAAAAUGAAUUCCUCCAUAAGAACAAGAAGAGAGGGCAACACCCUCUUCCAGAUCUGACAAGGUGACAUGUGAAAUCUUUCCCAGUAUCCAGGCAGACCUCAUCCCAGUGCCUAUUAAGCCUUCCCAUGCUUCACUGACAUCCAGAAAAUGACCCCUGGCCUUCAAUAUGGAGAGAAAAAAAAAUGGUUCUUGAAGGGAAAUAAAUAUGCUUUCUUUUUUAUCACAGAAAAAUACACUUUGCCAGAGUGAUAAGGAAGGUUAGACCUUUGAGUGACAUUGGCCUGAGGGGUCAGAAUGACAGGGUUACUCAUUCAGACUUGUGCAGAAAGUAAUUUGGGCCCAAUAGCAUUUUGCUCAGUAGACAGCAGCCAUCAGCCCAAACUGCACAUUACCUGCUGCUGGGUGACUUGCUGUGUCAUCACAGAUCACAGGGAUGCAGACUCCAAAGAUGCACCGGACACUUUUAAUUGAGAAGGCUUUUUAAAACAUAAACAGUACCCCCAGAACUUGCAGAGCCUCACAGUGAUGGCUUAGAGCUAAAUGCAAAAUUGUGCUAUUAACUUUCUGUGCUUGAAACUUGGGAUUUCCUUCAGGAUAAAUUUUUCAAUGCUGGGUCUGAGUCAACCUUCAGUAAAAAGAUUGGGAAGGGUAAAGGGUAUACAGAUUCUCACCAAACAGUACUAGAUUUUACCUGCUUGUCCAAAAACCCUGGA